UGGGUGACCUGCCCUUCACUCUGGGAUAACUCCGGGAAACCGGGGCUAAUACUGGAUAUGACUCGAACAGGCAUCUGUUUCGGGUGGAAAGAUUUAUUGGUGGAGGAUGGACUCGCGGCCUAUCAGCUUGUUGGUGAGGUAAUGGCUCACCAAGGCGACGACGGGUAGCUGGUCUGAGAGGAUGGCCAGCCACAUUGGGACUGAGACACGGCCCAGACUCCUACGGGAGCA
rnacentral:rRNA from 1 species